rnacentral:rRNA from 1 species
UCAGGAUGAACGCUAGCGACAGGCUUAACACAUGCGAAGUCGGGGGGCGAGCAUAAAAGUAGCAAUACUUGGUGGCGACCGGCGCACGGGUGAGUAACGCGUAUGCAACCUACCUAUCAGAGGGGAAUAACCCGGCGAAAGUCGGACUAAUACCGCAUAAAACAGGGGCACCGCAUGGUGAUAUUUGUUAAAGAAAUUCGCUGAUAGAUGGGCAUGCGUUCCAUUAGGUAGUUGGUGAGGUAACGGCUCACCAAGCCGACGAUGGAUAGGGGAACUGAGAGGUUGGUCCCCCACACUGGUACUGAGACACGGACCAGACUCCUACGGGAGGCAGCAGUGAGGAAUAUUGGUCAAUGGGCGGGAGCCUGAACCAGCCAAGUCGCCGUGAAGGAAGAAGGAUCUAUGGUUCGUAAACUUCUUUUGCAGGGGAAUAAAGUGCAGGACGUGUCCUGUUUUGUAUGUACCCUGAGAAUAAGGAUCGGCUAACUCCGUGCCAGCCGCCGC